UCUCAGUAAAGCAGGAAUGGUGGCCGAGUCACAGAGAAGCAGGCUUGGUAAAGUGCAUGCUGCUGGACAGCCUCACUUGGACAAGACUGCAUCAGGAUCCAAUUCUGCAUCCCACAGCACAUUUAGCCAUCAUGCCUCCGUUGUCUCCUCCUGGCUGUGAAAGUUCCUCAGACUUUCCAUAUCUUUCAUGACCUUGACGCUUUUGAGGAGUACAGAUGAGUUCUAGGUCUCCAUCUGCUUUGUCUGGUCUAGCCACACUCACUGAUGCCUCCACAUGCUGUUAAAGAACAGCAGAGCCACCGGGCACUCUUGUCUGCUUCUGACUUCUGUGGAAACACUCUAGUGUUUCCCAGUGAAGUAAGAUGCUGGUGUUUGGAUGACACACAUUUUUUUUUUUAUCUUAAGGAUGUAUCCAUCAAAUUCUAUUUACUCUUUUUCAUCAGUGAACACUGAAUUUUGUCAAAUGUCUUUUCUGCAUCUAUGAAGGUGACUGUUUCAUAUUAUAAUGGAUGUUAACAUGUUACCUUUCCAAGAGACCACUUGUGCCUUGCAUUCCAGAAUAAUCCCCACAAUGUCAUGAUGUAUUAUUUUUUUCAUAUGUUGUGGAUUCUGUUUAAAAAGCCUUCUCCCAACCACUGGAUGCUCUGUAAAGUCCUUAGAUAAAGUGAGGGUGAUUUUUACCCCCAGGAAACACUGAACAUUGGUAAUGUCUGGAGACAUUUUUGGGUAUCUCAACAGGGGAUGGGGUUGGGGGGAUGAUGCUACUA
rnacentral:lncRNA from 10 species